GGAAGAGGUUAAGAACAAUAUAAACUGCUAAUUUAUUUUUCCCCAGUUAAACUCCGGGGCUCAUCCGAA
rnacentral:tRNA from 1 species